GAUGAACGCUAGCGGCAGGCCUAAUACAUGCAAGUCGAACGGGAUUGAGGAGCUUGCUCCUCAUGAGAGUGGCGCACGGGUGCGUAACACGUAUGUAACCUACCUUAAUCAGGGGAAUAGCCUCUCGAAAGAGAGAUUAAGACCGCAUAAAAUCACACUAUGGCAUCAUAGAAUGAUCAAAUAUUUAUAGGAUUAAGAUGGGCAUGCGGAACAUUAGCUAGUUGGUAAGGUAACGGCUUACCAAGGCUACGAUGUUUAGGGGAUCUGAGAGGAUGGCCCCCCACACUGGUACGGAGACACGGACCAGACUCCUACGGGAGGCAGCAGUAAGGAAUAUUGGUCAAUGGGCGGAAGCUUGAACCAGCCAUGCCGCGUGCAGGAAGACGGCCCUACGGGUUGUAAACUGCUUUUGUACCGGAAUAAACCUACUUACGUGUAAGUAGCUGAAUGUACGGUAAGAAUAAGGAUCGGCUAACUCCGUGCCAGCCGCCGCGGUAA
rnacentral:rRNA from 1 species